rnacentral:snRNA from 1 species
GCAUUGCCCUUUUAGCUU